rnacentral:rRNA from 1 species
GUCUGGUGAUGAUGGCGAAGAGGUCACACCCGUUCCCAUACCGAACACGGAAGUUAAGCUCUUCAGCGCCGAUGGUAGUUGGGGGUUUCCCCCUGUGAGAGUAGGACAUCGCCAGGC